rnacentral:rRNA from 1 species
UACAACUUUCGACAACGGAUCUCUUGGCUCUCGCAUCGAUGAAGAACGCAGCGAAAUGCGAUAAGUAAUGUGAAUUGCAGAAUUCAGUGAAUCAUCGAAUCUUUGAACGCACCUUGCGCCCUUUGGUAUUCCGAGGGGCAUGCCUGUUUGAGUGUCAUU